rnacentral:lncRNA from 1 species
UUAAGCCUAUUUUCUCUCUUUCGUGUACACUAGAUGUAUACUAGUGUAUACGAUCUUGUAUAUCUUCUCUGAACCCUGUUCACCAAAUUUUCGGGGGAUCUGACUCGGUACAAGAAUUUUGGAGGCCUCCGUGGCCCCCUUGUAAAUGCAAAGAUACAGUCCAUGAGGACUUGAACGGAUUUUACAUGCAAAAUGACAAACAAAAUAUAGAAUUAGCCUUGGGAAGGAAAAUGAAGGGGCGAGAUAAAAAGUAAAUGAAAAUAAGAGUACAUAAACGAAAAUAAACGAAAUAAAUAAAUAAAUAAAAACACUCACUGAUUAAUUACUAACAGUACAACAUUCGAACAAUAAAGUAAAGGAAAAAAAAAACCAUGAAGACUAAAUGUUUUUAUGUAUAUGAUACAGUGAGCAGUAAAAGAGCAAAGUCAAAUGGACCAAAUUCAAUA